UUAGAGUUUGAUUCUGGCUCAGGAUGAACGCUAGCGGGAGGCUUAACACAUGCAAGUCGAGGGGUAACAGAGGUAGCAAUACUUGCUGACGACCGGCGUACGGGUGAGUAACGCGUAUGCAACCUGCCCUAUACAGGAGGAUAGCCCGAAGAAAUUCGGAUUAAUACUCCAUGCAGCAUAUUUUUCGCAUGAUAAAUAUGUUAAAGAUUUAUCGGUAUAGGAUGGGCAUGCGUCCCAUUAGUUAGUUGGUGAGGUAAUGGCUCACCAAGGCUUCGAUGGGUAUGGGGUCUAAAAGGAUGGUCCCACACACUGGCACUGAGACACGGGCCAGACUCCUACGGGAGGCAGCAGUGAGGAAUAUUGGUCAAUGGGCGAGAGCCUGAACCAGCCAUCCCGCGUGCAGGAUGACAGUCCUAGUGAUUGUAAACUGCUUUUCUAUAAGAUGAAUAAGGACUACGUGUAGUUCGAUGACCGUAUUAUAGGAAUAAGCAUCGGCUAACUCCGUGCCAGCAGCCGCGGUAAUACGGAGGAUGCAAGCGUUAUCCGGAUUUAUUAGGUUUAAAGGGUGCGUAGGUGGGCGUUUAAGUCAGUGGUUAAAGCCAAUAGCUUAACUAUUGUAUGCCAUUGAAACUGGAUGUCUUGAAUAGGGUAGAGGUGGGCGGAAUGUGUUGUGUAGCGGUGAAAUGCUUAGAUAUGACGAGGAACUCCUAUUGCGAAGGCAGCUUGCUGGGUCGUUACUGACGCUGAUGCUCGAAGGUGCGGGGAUCAAACAGGAUUAGAUACCCUGGUAGUCCGCACAGUAAAUUAUGGAUAUUUUCUUCCGGCGAUACAUGUUCGGUGGCCAAGCGAAAGCGUUAAGUAUCCCUCCUGGGGAGUACGUUCGCAAGAAUGAAACUCAAAGGAAUUGACGGGGGCCCGCACAAGCGGAGGAACAUGUGGUUUAAUUCGAUGAUACGCGAGGAACCUUACCCGGGUUUGAAUUGCUGAUGGCGAUAAUUGGAGACAGUUAUUUCCCUUCGGGGCGUCAGUGAAGGUGCUGCAUGGUUGUCGUCAGCUCGUGCCGUGAGGUGUCGGCUUAAGUGCCAUAACGAGCGCAACCCUUGCCGUUAGUUGCCAUCGGGUCAUGCCGGGCACUCUAUUGGGACUGCCAUCGUAAGAUGUGAGGAAGGUGGGGAGGACGUCAAAUCAGCACGGCCCUUAUGUCCGGGGCGACACACGUGUUACAAUGGCCGAGACAGAGGGAAGCGAAGGAGUAAUUUGGAGCGGAUCCCAAAAAGGCGGCCACAGUUCGGAUUGUGGGCUGCAACCCGCCCACAUGAAGCCGGAGUUGCUAGUAAUCGCGAAUCAGCAUGUCGCGGUGAAUAAGUUCCCGGGCCUUGCACUCACCGCCCGUCA
rnacentral:rRNA from 1 species